rnacentral:lncRNA from 1 species
UUCGGCCAAAUCCACUCCACGUUCAUUUCAUUCCCUGCUGAACAACAUAUUCAACGUCAUGGCAAAAUUAAUUUUAUUGAAGUAAUUUCGACAUUAAAGCUUUAAAGGGUUUAAAAUAUUUGAGCCUCAUUCGUUAAUAAUAAAGCCAUGCUGGUGAAUUAUCUCCUUGUGUGUUUCCUGGCAUUUGUGGAUGCAAACAUGAGAAACAGAAAUUUCACACCAUGCGAACAACGGAUAAAUCAGUGCCCUCGAGGCAGCAUACCCAACUGCCUGGUUAAAGACAGGGUGAACGAACAUUUCG